GAGGCUUUGAAGUGUGGACGCCAGUCUGCAUGGAGCCGACCUUGAAAUACCACCCUUUAAUGUUUGAUGUUCUAACGUGGACCCGUGAUCCGGGUUGCGGACAGUGUCUGGUGGGUAGUUUGACUGGGGCGGUCUCCUCCUAAAGAGUAACGGAGGAGCACGAAGGUUGGCUAAUCCUGGUCGGACAUCAGGAGGUUAGUGCAAUGGCAUAAGCCAGCUUGACUGCGAGCGUGACGGCGCGAGCAGGUGCGAAAGCAGGUCAUAGUGAUCCGGUGGUUCUGAAUGGAAGGGCCAUCGCUCAACGGAUAAAAGGUACUCCGGGGAUAACAGGCUGAUACCGCCCAAGAGUUCAUAUCGACGGCGGUGUUUGGCACCUCGAUGUCGGCUCAUCACAUCCUGGGGCUGAAGUAGGUCCCAAGGGUAUGGCUGUUCGCCAUUUAAAGUGGUACGCGAGCUGGGUUUAGAACGUCGUGAGACAGUUCGGUCCCUAUCUGCCGUGGGCGCUGGAGAACUGAGGGGGGCUGCUCCUAGUACGAGAGGACCGGAGUGGACGCAUCACUGGUGUUCGGGUUGUCAUGCCAAUGGCACUGCCCGGUAGCUAAAUGCGGAAGAGAUAAGUGCUGAAAGCAUCUAAGCACGAAACUUGCCCCGAGAUGAGUUCUCCCUGAGACUUUAGGUCUCCUGAAGGAACGUUGAAGACGACGACGUUGAUAGGCCGGGUGUGUAAGCGCAGCGAUGCGUUGAGCUAACCGGUACUAAUGAACCGUGAGGCUUAACCUUACAACGCCGAAG
rnacentral:rRNA from 1 species